CGAUAUAUCUUCAUUCCGUCCAACGAACGUAUGUGAUGAUGUCAGAUGCUAUCCAGGGUCUCACUGUCACCUCCGGUCAUGACAAGGGGGACUGGCCCUCUCGAUACUUUGGAUUUAAGGCACCAGUUAAGCACUUUUAAAUGCUUCAUCCAGAUUUUAUUACAUAUGUAACGCAAAGGUAAGGGGACUCGUAUUGCCWGGUCAAAUUGAGACUUUUAGAUCCUUAUUGGCUGCUAUUGUCACUAAUGACUGUUGACUGUCAAUGCUGCACAGGUUUUUGAAGUCUCCCCUGCUGAAGUACAGUCAGCUCUACAUGUUCAGCACUGGUGCUCUGAUGCUUCUGACCGCCCUGCACAUGUGUGACCAGGUGUCUGCCUAUGGUUUCAUCACAAAAAACUUUGCAGACUUCUCUGACCACUACUGUGAUGCUGCCCCUGCGCUUCUAUGCCAACCAAGACAUGCAGAUGGAGAGCUGGCUGUGGGAGGUACUGCAUGCACGAAAAGUAAUGUCACUGUACAAGAGAACAAAAGUAAAAUGAUGGACACUCAAUUGUAUUUUCAUGUGAAAAGCCUUCCUUGAAAUGCUGUUAACUCCUAUGUUUGCCAUGGAGGUAGUCCCUCRGAAGGAGCGGCUGCUGGAGUUGUGUGGCGUCCUUUGUUAUUAGUCUCACAGCAACAUUAAAGGCCUUUGACGGUGMAAAGCCAA